CCCGCUGAACUUAAGCAUAUCAAUAAGCGGAGGAAAAGAAACCAACAGGGAUUGCCUUAGUAACGGCGAGUGAAGCGGCAACAGCUCAAAUUUGAAACCUGGCCUCAUGGCCCGAAUUGUAAUUUGUAGAGGAUGCUUCAAGCAUGGUCCGGUCUAAGUUCCUUGGAACAGGACGUCAUAGAGGGUGAGAAUCCCGUAUGUGACUGGGUGCCUAAGCUUAUGUGAUGCUCCUUCAACGAGUCGAGUUGUUUGGGAAUGCAGCUCAAAAUGGGUGGUAAAUUUCAUCUAAAGCUAAAUACUGGCCAGAGACCGAUAGCGCACAAGUAGAGUGAUCGAAAGAUGAAAAGCACUUUGGAAAGAGAGUUAAACAGUACGUGAAAUUGUUGAAAGGGAAGCGCUUGCAAUCAGACUUGUAUGCAGUUAAUCAUCCGUUGUUUUCACCGGUGCACUUAAUUGCAUACAGGCCAGCAUUGGUUUUGGUGGUUGGAUAAAGGCCUUGGGAAUGUAGCUUCUUUUGGGGAGUGUUAUAGCCCUUGGUGUAAUGUAGCCUACUGGGACCGAGGACCGCGCUUCGGCUAGGAUGCUGGCGUAAUGGUUGUAAGCGACCCGUCUUGAAACACGG
rnacentral:rRNA from 1 species